rnacentral:rRNA from 1 species
CCUACGGGUGGCAGCAGUGGGGAAUAUUGGACAAUGGGCGAAAGCCUGAUCCAGCCAUGCCGCGUGUGUGAAGAAGGCCUUCGGGUUGUAAAGCACUUUCAGUGGGGAAGAAAGCCUUGGGGCUAAUACCCUCGAGGAAGGACAUCACCCACAGAAGAAGCACCGGCUAACUCCGUGCCAGCAGCCGCGGUAAUACGGAGGGUGCGAGCGUUAAUCGGAAUUACUGGGCGUAAAGCGCGCGUAGGCGGUCUGAUAAGCCGGUUGUGAAAGCCCCGGGCUCAACCUGGGAACGGCAUCCGGAACUGUCAGGCUAGAGUGCAGGAGAGGACGGUAGAAUUCCCGGUGUAGCAGUGAAAUGCGUAGAGAUCGGGAGGAAUACCAGUGGCGAAGGCGGCCUUCUGGACUGACACUGACGCUGAGAUGCGAAAGCGUGGGUAGCAAACAGGAUUAGAUACCCCAGUAGUC